AAAUAGAUACCCCCGGUAGUCCACGCCGUAAACGUUGGGCGCUAGAUGUGGGGACCAUUCCACGGUUUUCCGUGUCGCAGCUAACGCAUUAAGCGCCCCGCCUGGGGAGUACGGCCGCAAGGCUAAAACUCAAAGGAAUUGACGGGGGCCCGCACAAGCGGCGGAGCAUGCGGAUUAAUUCGAUGCAACGCGAAGAACCUUACCAAGGCUUGACAUAUACGAGAACGCUCUAGAAAUAGAGAACUCUUUGGACACUCGUAUACAGGUGGUGCAUGGUUGUCGUCAGCUCGUGUCGUGAGAUGUUGGGUUAAGUCCCGCAACGAGCGCAACCCUCGUUCUAUGUUGCCAGCGGUUCGGCCGGGAACUCAUAGGAGACUGCCGGGGUCAACUCGGAGGAAGGUGGGGAUGACGUCAAAUCAUCAUGCCCCUUAUGUCUUGGGCUUCACGCAUGCUACAAUGGCCGGUACAAAGGGCUGCAAUACCGUAAGGUGGAGCGAAUCCCAAAAAGCCGGUCUCAGUUCGGAUUGAGGUCUGCAACUCGACCU
rnacentral:rRNA from 1 species